rnacentral:rRNA from 1 species
GAUGGACGCUGGCGGCGUGCCUAAUACAUGCAAGUAGAACGCUGAAGGAGGAGCUUGCUCUUCUGGAUGAGUUGCGAACGGGUGAGUAACGCGUAGGUAACCUGCCUGGUAGCGGGGGAUAACUAUUGGAAACGAUAGCUAAUACCGCAUGACAACAGUUAUUGCAUGAUAACUGUUUAAAAGGGGCAACUGCUCCACUACCAGAUGGACCUGCGUUGUAUUAGCUAGUUGGUGAGGUAACGGCUCACCAAGGCGACGAUACAUAGCCGACCUGAGAGGGUGAUCGGCCACACUGGGACUGAGACACGGCCCAGACUCCUACGGGAGGCAGCAGUAGGGAAUCUUCGGCAAUGGACGGAAGUCUGACCGAGCAACGCCGCGUGAGUGAAGAAGGGUUUCGGAUCGUAAAGCUCUGUUGUAAGAGAAGAACGAGUGUGAGAGUGGAAAGUUCACACUGUGACGGUAUCUUACCAGAAAGGGACGGCUAACUACGUG